rnacentral:rRNA from 1 species
CCUACGGGGGGCAGCAGUGGGGGAUAUUGCACAAUGGGGGAAACCCUGAUGCAGCGACGCCGCGUGGGUGAAGAAGUAUUUCGGUAUGUAAAGCCCUAUCAGCAGGGAAGAAAGAAGACGGUACCUGACUAAGAAGCCCCGGCUAACUACGUGCCAGCAGCCGCGGUAAUACGUAGGGGGCGAGCGUUAUCCGGAUUCACUGGGUGUAAAGGGAGCGUAGACGGCCGUGCAAGCCAGGAGUGAAAGCCCGGGGCCCAACCCCGGGACUGCUCUUGGAACUGUGCGGCUGGAGUGCGGGAGGGGCAGGCGGAAUUCCGGGUGUAGCGGUGAAAUGCGUAGAUAUCAGGAGGAACACCGGCGGCGAAGGCGGCCUGCUGGACCGCGACUGACGUUGAGGCUCGAAAGCGUGGGGAGCGAACAGGAUUAGAUACCCGGGUAGUC